rnacentral:rRNA from 1 species
UACGUAGGGUGCGAGCGUUAAUCGGAAUUACUGGGCGUAAAGUGUGCGCAGGCGGCCGAGCAAGUCGAGUGUGAAAGCCCCGAGCUUAACUUGGGAAUUGCGCUCGAAACUACUUGGCUGGAGUGUGGCAGAGGAAGAUGGAAUUCCAGGUGUAGCGGUGAAAUGCGUAGAGAUCUGGAGGAACACCGAUGGCGAAGGCAGCCUUCUGGGCCAACACUGACGCUCAUGCACGAAAGCGUGGGGAGCAAACAGG